rnacentral:snRNA from 9 species
ACACUUACUUGGCGUAGGGAUACCGUGAUCAUACAGACGGCUCCCCCAGGGUGAGGUUGCUCCAUUGCACUGCGGAGUAGUCGACCCUUGCGAUUAUUAUUUUUUUUAUUUUCUAUAAGUUUCACUUCUACCGUGUGUAGCUUACACA